AUGAACGCUAGCGACAGGCUUAACACAUGCAAGUCGAGGGGCAGCACAGGUAGCAAUACCGGGUGGCGACCGGCGCACGGGUGAGUAACGCGUAUGCAACUUACCUAUCAGAGGGGGAUAACCCGGCGAAAGUCGGACUAAUACCGCAUGAAGCAGGGGCCCCGCAUGGGGAUAUUUGCUAAAGAUUCAUCGCUGAUAGAUAGGCAUGCGUUCCAUUAGGCAGUUGGCGGGGUAACGGCCCACCAAACCGACGAUGGAUAGGGGUUCUGAGAGGAAGGUCCCCCACAUUGGUACUGAGACACGGACCAAACUCCUACGGGAGGCAGCAGUGAGGAAUAUUGGUCAAUGGGCGUAAGCCUGAACCAGCCAAGUCGCGUGAGGGAUGAAGGUUCUAUGGAUCGUAAACCUCUUUUAUAAGGGAAUAAAGUGCGGGACGUGUCCCGUUUUGUAUGUACCUUAUGAAUAAGGAUCGGCUAACUCCGUGCCAGCAGCCGCGGUAAUACGGAGGAUCCGAGCGUUAUCCGGAUUUAUUGGGUUUAAAGGGUGCGUAGGCGGCCUUUUAAGUCAGCGGUGAAAGUCUGUGGCUCAACCAUAGAAUUGCCGUUGAAACUGGGAGGCUUGAGUAUGUUUGAGGCAGGCGGAAUGCGUGGUGUAGCGGUGAAAUGCUUAGAUAUCACGCAGAACCCCGAUUGCGAAGGCAGCCUGCCAAGCCAUGACUGACGCUGAUGCACGAAAGCGUGGGGAUCAAACAGGAUUAGAUACCCUGGUAGUCCACGCAGUAAACGAUGAUCACUAGCUGUUUGCGAUACAGUGUAAGCGGCACAGCGAAAGCGUUAAGUGAUCCACCUGGGGAGUACGCCGGCAACGGUGAAACUCAAAGGAAUUGACGGGGGCCCGCACAAGCGGAGGAACAUGUGGUUUAAUUCGAUGAUACGCGAGGAACCUUACCCGGGUUUGAACGCAUUCGGACCGAGGUGGAAACACCUCUUCUAGCAAUAGCCGUUUGCGAGGUGCUGCAUGGUUGUCGUCAGCUCGUGCCGUGAGGUGUCGGCUGAAGGGCCAUAACGAGCGCAAGCCUAGCCACUAGUUACUAAGAGGUAAAGCUGAGGACUCUGGUGGGACUGCCAGCGUAAGCUGCGAGGAAGGCGGGGAUGACGUCAAAUCAGCACGGCCCUUACAUCCGGGGCGACACACGUGUUACAAUGGCGUGGACAAAGGGAAGCCACCUGGCGACAGGGAGCGAAUCCCCAAACCACGUCUCAGUUCGGAUCGGAGUCUGCAACCCGACUCCGUGAAGCUGGAUUCGCUAGUAAUCGCGCAUCAGCCAUGGCGCGGUGAAUACGUUCCCGGGCCUUGUACACACCGCCCGUCACACCAUGAGAGUUGGGGAUACCCGAAGCCUGUGAGCCAACAGUUAAAUGAGGCAGCAGUCGAAGGUAGAAUCAAUGAUUGGGGUG
rnacentral:rRNA from 1 species